AUUGACUUCAGCGGGGUUUGG
rnacentral:miRNA from 1 species